rnacentral:rRNA from 1 species
AUUGAACGCUGGCGGCAGGCCUAACACAUGCAAGUCGAACGAGUGGCGGACGGGUGAGUAAUGCCUGGGAAACUGCCUGUUGGAGGGGGAUAACUACUGGAAACGGUAGCUAAUACCGCAUACCAUCGGAUGUGCCCAGAUGGGAUUAGCUAGUAGGCGGGGGAAAGGCUCACCUAGGCGACGAUCCCUAGCUGGUCUGAGAGGAUGACCGGCCACACGGGAAUUGAGACACGGUCCAUACUCGUACGGGAGGCAGCAGUGGGGAAUAUUGCACAAUGGGCGCAAGCCUGAUGCAGCCAUGCCGCGUGUAUGAAGAAGGCCUUCGGGUUGUAAAGUACUUUCAGCGGGGAGGCGUUACCCGCAGAAGAAGCACCGGCUAACUCCGUGCCAGCAGCCGCGGUAAUUC